AACGUAGGGGGCGAGCGUUGCCCGGAUUCACUGGGCGUAAAGCGGGUGUAGGCGGUUCUCUAAGUCGGAUGUGAAAUCCUGCGGCCUAACCGCGGAACUGCAUCCGAUACUGGGGGACUUGAGGACGGUAGAGGCCGGUGGAAUUCCCGGUGUACCGGUGAAAUGGACAGAUAUCGGGAGGAACACCAGUGGCGAAGGCGGCCGGCUGGGCCGAUCCUGACGCUGAGACCCGAAAGCCAGGGUAGCGAACCGG
rnacentral:rRNA from 1 species